UACGGAGGGUGCAAACGUUGCUCGGAAUUAUUGGGCGUAAAGCGUGCGCAGGCGGUUUUGUAAGCCAGAUGUGAAAUCCCCGGGCUUAACCUGGGAAUGGCAUUUGGGACUGCAAGGCUGGAGUGCGGCAGAGGAGACUGGAAUUCCUGGUGUAGCAGUGAAAUGCGUAGAUAUCAGGAGGAAUACCGAUGGCGAAGGCAGGUCUCUGGGCUGACACUGACGCUCAUGCACGAAAGCGUGGGGAGCAAACAGG
rnacentral:rRNA from 1 species